rnacentral:rRNA from 1 species
AACGCUGGCGGCGUGCCUAACACAUGCAAGUCGAGCGGAGCCAUCCGACAGAUCCCUUCGGGGUGACGACGGGAAGCUUAGCGGCGGACGGGUGAGUAACGCGUGAGUAACCUGCCCUUAAGAGGGGAAUAACACACCGAAAGGUGUGCUAAUACCGCAUGACAUACUUUGGUCGCAUGACCGAAGUAUCAAAGAUUUAUCGCUUAAGGAUGGACCCGCGUCUGAUUAGCUAGUUGGUAAGGUAACGGCUUACCAAGGCGACGAUCAGUAGCCGGCCUGAGAGGGUGAUCGGCCACAUUGGGACUGAGACACGGCCCAAACUCCUACGGGAGGCAGCAGUGGGGAAUAUUGCACAAUGGGGGAAACCCUGAUGCAGCAACGCCGCGUGAAGGAUGACGUAUUUCGGUAUGUAAACUUCUAUCAGCAAGGAAGAUGAUGACGGUACUUGACUAAGAAGCCCCGGCUAACUACGUG